AUUGAACGCUGGCGGCAGGCCUAACACAUGCAAGUCGAACGGUAGCACAGAGAGCUUGCUCUCGGGUGACGAGUGGCGGACGGGUGAGUAAUGUCUGGGAAACUGCCCGAUGGAGGGGGAUAACUACUGGAAACGGUAGCUAAUACCGCAUAACGUCGCAAGACCAAAGUGGGGGACCUUCGGGCCUCACACCAUCGGAUGUGCCCAGAUGGGAUUAGCUAGUAGGUGGGGUAAUGGCUCACCUAGGCGACGAUCCCUAGCUGGUCUGAGAGGAUGACCAGCCACACUGGAACUGAGACACGGUCCAGACUCCUACGGGAGGCAGCAGUGGGGAAUAUUGCACAAUGGGCGCAAGCCUGAUGCAGCCAUGCCGCGUGUAUGAAGAAGGCCUUCGGGUUGUAAAGUACUUUCAGCGGGGAGGAAGGCGGUGAGGUUAAUAACCUUGCCGAUUGACGUUACCCGCAGAAGAAGCACCGGCUAAUUCCGUGCCAGCCGCCGCCGUAA
rnacentral:rRNA from 1 species